UACGUAGGGGGCAAGCGUUGUCCGGAAUCAUUGGGCGUAAAGAGCGUGUAGGCGGCCAGAAAAGUCCGCUGUGAAAACUCGAGGCUCAACUUCGAGCUGUCGGUGGAAACUUUCUGGCUAGAGUCCGGAAGAGGAGAAUGGAAUUCCUGGUGUAGCGGUGAAAUGCGCAGAUAUCAGGAAGAACACCCGUGGCGAAGGCGGUUCUCUGGGACGGUACUGACGCUGAGACGCGAAAGCUAGGGGAGCAAACGGG
rnacentral:rRNA from 1 species